UGCCAGCCGCCGCGGUAAUACGGAGGGUGCAAGCGUUGUUCGGAAUUAUUGGGCGUAAAGCGUCCGUAGGCGGUUUUUUAAGUCUGUGGUUAAAUCCCAGGGCUCAACUGUGGAACUGCCUUUGAUACUGGUUGUCUUGAGUUUAGUGGAAGAUAGUGGAAUUGCUAAUGGAAGGGUAAAAUUUUUAGAUAUUAGUAGGAAUAUCACAAGCGUAGGCAGCUAUCUUAAUUAAUACUGACGCUGAGGUACGAAAGUUUGGGUAGCAAACAGGAUUAGAUA
rnacentral:rRNA from 1 species